rnacentral:rRNA from 1 species
UGAGGAAUCUUGGACAAUGGGCGAAAGCUUGAUCCAGCAAUACCGAGUGGGUGAGACGGAGGCUAAUUAGGUCGUAAAGCCCUUUCAUCGAGAAGAGACAAUGACAAGACUCGAAAAAGAAGCCCCGUCUAACUCCGUG